rnacentral:rRNA from 1 species
UACGUAGGGGGCUAGCGUUGUCCGGAAUCAUUGGGCGUAAAGCGCGUGUAGGCGGUUCGGUAAGUCCGCUGUGAAAGUCGGGGGCUCAACCCUCGAAUGCCGGUGGAUACUGCCGGGCUAGAGUCCGGAAGAGGCGAGUGGAAUUCCUGGUGUAGCGGUGAAAUGCGCAGAUAUCAGGAGGAACACCGAUGGCGAAGGCAGCUCGCUGGGACGGUACUGACGCUGAGACGCGAAAGCGUGGGGAGCGAACAGG